GGAAUAUAGCUCAGUUGGUAGAGCGCUUGCCUCACAUGCACAAGGUCCUGGGUUCAACCCUCAGCACCG
rnacentral:tRNA from 1 species